CGUUCUUUUUACCUCAGACUUUUCCAAUUCCUGGUGAGCUUCUCCCUCCAAGGAGUUGUUCUUCUCACAUCCACACGUUCCAAAUUAUUGCGACCUUCUCCCUCCAAACAACCAAAGAACAUUAGCAGGAAGAAGAAGAGUAGUUAAAAAUGGAAUCACAUUCUAAGUUUUUUGGAGUUAAGCAAAGAGAUUAGGAGGCAGACAACAUAAAAUAGUAGAAGUAAAAGAAGAAAUGUGUAAGGAGGAAAAACGAGAUGCCAGUGGCAGAGAGCAAAUGGAGUCAAUAGUUUGAAGGAUAGAUUUUCUAAGGGUUCCAUGCCAGCUGUAUGUAUGCAAGAGAUAAUUCAGGGCGACCUGUGAAUCCAGAAACCUUGGAGACACUAAGAUGAUAAAUUGGAGCCACUGCCUGGUGACAAUUGAAUCCUCAAAAUAGCAUCUUCUCAAUUAACUACUUUGUCAAAUACAAACUCUAGCAUAAGCAGUAGUAGCAGGAGUAGCAAGCAAGACGACAAGGAUGGUUUCUCAUUAAGGAACAUGUUUUGGUCUAAUCUUGAGUAGCUAUAAAAUUCAAGUGGUGAUCUGAAGACCUAACUGUGUUUAGGCAAUGUUGAUUGUAAAUAAAUAUCAACAUCCGUACAAUUUUAAAUAAUGAUAGAUGCAUGGUACAAUGUACACAUCUAUGCAGUGUAAAAUCAUUUGAAAUUCCAAAGGUCACAACUUGAAUCUUGA